UCUACAGCAGGGCAUAAUAUGAAGAUAACACUACAAAAAUAAUCAAGAUGUGUCUAAAGGAGAAAAAUAAAUAAUCAUUAUCAAUAAUGAUGUUUGGUGAAAUAUUCUAUCUCUUAUUGAAGAAAAUAUAAGAUCAUCUUUAAGUAUAAACUCAGUAGCAGCAAUUUUCUACAAAAGGAAGGCUCUUCUGCCAGUGGGAGAGAGAGUGAAUAAAUUCUUUCUGGCAAAGAGGUUAUAUUUAAUCCAAAUGGCGUUUGUGAAAAUAGUUUAGCAAUGAAAAAGGUGCUUUCCGACUAGAGAGGUUCCUGAGACUUCAUAGACAAUGAAGGAUCAAGACUGUCAGUCUUUUGUUACAUCAAGGAGAGUCAUGAGUCAUCCACAAGGAGUAUGCAGUUGGAAAGUCCAGUGUAAGCUGCUUGUGGUUUAUGCACACAUUUACAACAGAAUGGCAAUA
rnacentral:lncRNA from 1 species